rnacentral:rRNA from 1 species
CUACGGAGGGUGCGAGCGUUAAUCGGAAUUACUGGGCGUAAAGGGUCCGCAGGUGGUUUUGUAAGUCAGAUGUGAAAUCCCCGGGCUUAACCUGGGAACUGCGUUUGAAACUGCAAGGCUAGAGUGUGACAGAGGGGGGUGGAAUUCCGCGUGUAGCAGUGAAAUGCGUAGAGAUGUGGAGGAACACCGAUGGCGAAGGCAGCCCCCUGGGUCAGCACUGACGCUCAGGCACGAAAGCAUGGGGAGCAAACAGAAUUAGAAACCCCGGUAGUCC